UACGUAGGUGGCAAGCGUUGUCCGGAAUUAUUGGGCGUAAAGCGCGCGCAGGCGGUCCUUUAAGUCUGAUGUGAAAGCCCACGGCUCAACCGUGGAGGGUCAUUGGAAACUGGGGGACUUGAGUGCAGGAGAGAAGAGUGGAAUUCCACGUGUAGCGGUGAAAUGCGUAGAGAUGUGGAGGAACACCGGUGGCGAAGGCGGCGACCUGGGUAGAUACUGACGCUGAGGUGCGAAAGCGUGGGGAGCAAACAGG
rnacentral:rRNA from 1 species